UGCGACCUCUAGCUUACUUGGGAUACGUGCAAGAUUUUCUCGUGACUCGGUCUUCGUUCAGAUUACAAUAGCAUGCUUGUUCAGACAAACGAACGUUUGUUGUUGUUUGAAGAAUGUGAAGGCGAUGGUGGACCGCAGUGAGAAUCGCACCUACAUGCUUUUUGAUAUCCUGCAGAAUGAUGAGAAACGAUGUGCUCAGAUUGCAGUGGAAAGCAUCAUUACCUGGGGAGAAAGUG